AACGAACGCUGGCGGCAGGCUUAACACAUGCAAGUCGAACGGUAACAGGCCGCAAGGUGCUGACGAGUGGCGAACGGGUGAGUAAUGCAUCGGAACGUGCCCAGUCGUGGGGGAUAACGCAGCGAAAGCUGUGCUAAUACCGCAUACGAUCCAUGGAUGAAAGCGGGGGACCGUAAGGCCUCGCGCGAUUGGACCGGCCGAUGUCAGAUUAGGUAGUUGAUGGGGUAAAGGCUCACCAAGCCAACGAUCUGUAGCUGGUCUGAGAGGACGACCAGCCACACUGGGACUGAGACACGGCCCAGACUCCUACGGGAGGCAGCAGUGGGGAAUUUUGGACAAUGGGCGCAAGCCUGAUCCAGCAAUGCCGCGUGCAGGAAGAAGGCCUUCGGGUUGUAAACUGCUUUUGUACGGAACGAAACGGUCUGGGUUAAUACCUCGGGCUAAUGACGGUACCGUAAGAAUAAGCACCGGCUAACUACGUGCCAGCCGCCGCGGUAAUAC
rnacentral:rRNA from 1 species